GGAGAAGUGCAUCGGAAACUGGGAGACUUGAGUGCAGAAGAGGACAGUGGAACUCCAUGUGUAGCGGUGGAAUGCGUAGAUAUAUGGAAGAACACCAGUGGCGAAGGCGGCUGUCUAGUCUGUAACUGACGCUGAGGCUCGAAAGCAUGGGUAGCGAACAGGAUUAGAUACCCUGGUAGUCCAUGCCGUAAACGAUGAGUGCUAAGUGUUGGAGGGUUUCCGCCCUUCAGUGCUGCAGCUAACGCAUUAAGCACUCCGCCUGGGGAGUACGACCGCAAGGUUGAAACUCAAAGGAAUUGACGGGGGCCCGCACAAGCGGUGGAGCAUGUGGUUUAAUUCGAAGCUACGCGAAGAACCUUACCAGGUCUUGACAUCUUCUGCCAAUCUUAGAGAUAAGACGUUCCCUUCGGGGACAGAAUGACAGGUGGUGCAUGGUUGUCGUCAGCUCGUGUCGUGAGAUGUUGGGUUAAGUCCCGCAACGAGCGCAACCCUUAUUAUCAGUUGCCAGCAUUCAGUUGGGCACUCUGGUGAGACUGCCGGUGACAAACCGGAGGAAGGUGGGGAUGACGUCAAAUCAUCAUGCCCCUUAUGACCUGGGCUACACACGUGCUACAAUGGACGGUACAACGAGUUGCGAAGUCGUGAGGCUAAGCUAAUCUCUUAAAGCCGUUCUCAGUUCGGAUUGUAGGCUGCAACUCGCCUACAUGAAGUUGGAAUCGCUAGUAAUCGCGGAUCAGCAUGCCGCGGUGAAUACGUUCCCGGGCCUUGUACACACCGCCCGUCACACCAUGAGAGUUUGUAACACCCAAAGCCGGUGAGAUAACCUUCGGGAGUCAGCCGUCUAAGGUGGACAGAUAUUAGGGAAGUGUACAGAUCGCUAAAA
rnacentral:rRNA from 2 species